AUUGAACGCUGGCGGAAUGCUUUACACAUGCAAGUCGAACGGCAGCACGGGGGCAACCCUGGUGGCGAGUGGCGAACGGGUGAGUAAUACAUCGGAACGUGCCCAGUCGUGGGGGAUAACGUAGCGAAAGUUACGCUAAUACCGCAUACGAUCUACGGAUGAAAGCGGGGGACCGUAAGGCCUCGCGCGAUUGGAGCGGCCGAUAUCAGAUUAGGUAGUUGGUGGGGUAAAGGCCCACCAAGCCAACGAUCUGUAGCUGGUCUGAGAGGACGACCAGCCACACUGGAACUGAGACACGGUCCAGACUCCUACGGGAGGCAGCAGUGGGGAAUUUUGGACAAUGGACGCAAGUCUGAUCCAGCCAUUCCGCGUGCAGGAUGAAGGCCCUCGGGUUGUAAACUGCUUUUGUACGGAACGAAAAGGUCUCUCUUAAUACGGGGGACUCAUGACGGUACCGUAAGAAUAAGCACCGGCUAACUACGUGCCAGCAGCCGCGGUAA
rnacentral:rRNA from 1 species